GCGUGAUUUCGGCCCAUUUCAAGUACAAGGAAAUUGCUAAAAGGACUAGAGGACGGCGGCGCCGUAGGAUCGAGCCGUAAACCAAGCAGCGAAGUAGAUUAUCAUCACCAGGAACAAAACGCCCGGAAACUUUGCCAUCGAAAGGCUGGCGACCUGCCAAAACAGACUGGUCCUUUCAUCACCGCGAUGCAUGCGGCGUUCCGGGGUUUAACUUGCAGCCGCCGGCGAGCAAGGUUGUGCCUCGGAAAACACUAGUAUUAGCAAGCCGCCAAGCGAGGCGCGCUCUUUUGCACCGUCGGCGAUUCCCGACGCCGUGCAAUGCGAGCGGGGGCACGCGUUCGCCUCCGGCGUUCUCUCGGCUGGCACCAAGCGCGCAGGAGCUUUUGCGCUCCAAGCAGGAAACUUACCAACAUCUGGAAAAGGUGUUUGGCGGUUUCCUGCUGCAUUAAGAGUGACAUGAAGAGUUUCCAGAAGGUUUUACAGUGGCAAAAAGUUGGGCAGGCUGACUCGCUGGUCUUAGAAAGAAGAAGCUGAGCCAGAUGGAUGUUCUUUGACACGUCGCCUUCUUCCUUUGGUCAGGACUGACAAGGCACAGGAAAAUGAUGAGCAGCAGAGUCACUCUUGUUAUGAAGACACAUCUUCAUUUCCAGGGGAAUCCAGACAAUGUUCUACCACAUGCAGAGAACUUUGAUUUAGGCCUACAAAUAAAGAAGUGUUACUUUCAAGUAUUGAUGGGUCUUCAGGUGUCUGCCCGGAGCCCCAGGAUGGAAGAUGAGACAUCCCUUCACAUUUUGACAAGGAUUCAAUGAAAGUCCCAGGGGGCUCCAGAACCAGCAGCCUGGAGUAUGUGGAUUCCAUGAUUUCCAACAUUUGGGAUGAGGAGUCAGGGAAGCUGGGAGCAGGAUGCAGUUGUCUUCAGAGGCCAAUCUCUCUUCCAAUCCCUGGGAUUUUCCCGAAGAAAGAGAAGCCACCCUAGAUCAGGCAUCCUCAAACUAUGGCCCGCAGGCCAGAUACGGCCCGCCAGUGCAAAGUAUCCGGCUUGCAGAGUGGUGGGAUUCAGGCCCGCCCCUCACCGUCGGCCUUAUCUUUCAGGAAGCAUCCACUCCAGCUGCACUUCUGGUUAGUUAUUUCACCGGUUGAGCUGCACUUCUGAUCACACUGCUGCUGCUGAAGGUGAUACUCAAUGAAAGGGAGACAAAGCCAGGAUCUCCAUCCACUGCAUUUCUUAACUUGGUCCACAUAAAAUGAUUCAGGGAGCGCUAUGUGCUGGCCUUUUUCCUGAGACAGAAUAGAGACCAGUGGUGUGGACAGCACAGAAGAUGUGAGCAUUCUUGUGAUGGCGAUUGGUCAGCAACAUGUUGCUGAUUUGGAAGAAGAGGAUGAAGUGGAACUAGGGCCUAUGACAUGGGGAUGCAGAGUUCCCAGGAACCCUCAGACAGUCCAGAAUGGAAGAGCACAGUAUGAUUGAAUGGAUGGACAACUGUCUGCUCAAGAAGAGGUAGGAGAGGCAUGGCUACUUAUGAUCAGCAACAGUCUGCCACCAAUGAGGAACAGCUGCUGCCCCUGCCUGAUCUGUGGAUGUGAAGAGCGGAUCCUGGAAUCUCAGAAGAGGUCAGCGAGGCUGCUCACAAGGAAGCAGCUUUGUACUUCCUAAUCAGGGACAUUGGGUUGUGGAUUAUUUAGUGAGGCAUGUGGGAGGGAGUGGUUGGUGAAGACAACUGUUCAGUUUCCUGAGUCUUUGGCUCUGUGCUUUCUGUAUCCUGAUUUUGUGCUGUGAUCCUUCGGCUUGUCUUGUUGAUUUUUCCAGAACUUGGACUUGGAUUUGAACUUGAAAUUGAACAUGGAUUUGGACUUGCCUCAGGGAGUUUCCUUGUGGGAGAAUUUGCUUGAGAAAUUACUGCUUUAGUUUUGUGUGUGUGUGCUUGGACUUUCUCACUGAACUGUUUGGGGAGGGGAAUUUGUGACUUGGGGGAUUUUGGGGGAUAUUGCUAUAACAAAUAGAGUUGUGCAAUAAAUAUACUCUACCUGCACUUUUUGCCAUGUGUGUGACUUGGGUCAGAACAAUUCUGUUCUUCUGGCUCAUGAUGGCUGACUGAUGGCUGACACUUUUAACACAGCUAUAUAAUACAAUAGCAAAUAAUAUCCAGCAACUUUGCUGAAGAAGUCCUGCCGUUCAAGAUAAAUGUUACCAUAAACAUUGCAGCAGAACCUUCUGUUUCAACAGGAAAAAUCUAGACAUGUGAUCGCUUGAUAAUAAUCCUUAAUCUUGGCUGAACAAUAGGCCUAGUCUGAAGCACUUAUACUUACUUACUUAAUUUUUAUUAUUCCACAAGGUUCAGGAGAUAUCACCAUCCUUCUGCAAAAGCUGUCUGCCUUUUAGGUGGAAGCAACGUGGGUUCUGAUGGACACCCACAUUGCAUUGUAUAGAUUUAAUGCACUGGGCACUACAUGUAGUGCACAUAUAGUUUAUGGUGGUAUCUUUUAGUUCACAAAAUAGUAAGAAAAGCCUCUGUUUCUACUUCCAGGUAUUAUUGGUUGGAUUUGUGGCAAAAAAGAAAAGCUGGGGGGGGGGAACGAUAUAGAAGAAGAGUUAAUCCUCUUCAUUUUGACUCUAGGUUUUGUAGUCUCAUUUUAUAGACUCUUUCAAUUUGCCACUAUAACAGUCUUUGGGUUAACACCACUAGUUCAGUGGCCAACAUUCAAAGUUGCAAUGGUGCUGAACAAGGGAGGACUUAUGACCAGUCUUUGAAAUUGUGGAUGUCACAGCAUCUGCAUGGUCACCUGAUCACAAUUUGGGCACUUGGCAAUCAGCUUGCAGUUACGAUGGUUACAGCUGCCCCCAGACAUGUGAUCGCCAUUUAUGACUUUCCCUGCUGACUUUCCAUAAAGUCAAUGGGGAAACCAAUAGGAGUUUGCAAGUUACUCUCAUCCCUGCCUCUUUUUUGUCCACCCGGGAUGCAUGGUACCUGCCCGCGGCACCCAUGCACCUGCAGCAUCUGUCUAUAGCACCUGCCUAGGUUCUGUAGUGCCUGCCCAUGACACCCACCUGCCUGCACCUGGCCAUAGUUUGUAGCACAUGCCUAGGGCACCUGUUCACGCUUCAUAGAAUUUGCUCAUAUCACCAGCACAACCUUCCAUACCUCUUGCCUGCCAGCCUGGAACUUCAGCCUCUUUUCAUGUCACAGUUGUAUGAGAUCCUCACUUAAUAACCUGUGUGAUCCAGAGGUUGUGAAAUUAACUUGGACUGCCUGGAUUGCUAAACAGUGCAGUCAUGUGAUCUCUUUUAUGAUCACAUCACUUAGUGACAAAAUUCUUGCCCCAAUUUCUGUCAUAACUCAAGGAGCUUCCUGUAGUUCUGUGCACACUGAAAAAUAUAGUGACACACACAUUAAAUAUCAAUACAAUGGAGAUGUUAAUAUUAUUAGUUCAGGACUGAAACUACUAUUUAACUAAUACUUUGAUGCGAAUUUCUGUGGUUCUUUCUUUUUUUACCCUAUACACAACUUUAGAUGAAAAUAAGUUUGUGCUUGUAACAGGGAUAUCCUAAAUGACAAUACUGACAGAAGUUUUACUUUUUGCUUUUUAUUUUCAGUACUUCAAGCUUGUAAAAUAAUAGAAUGUUAAUGAUCUUUACUCAUAUAAACAUUACUGCAUUAAAAUCUGCAUUGAAAUAAUACAGCAUAUCACGAUUUAUACCUUUAUAAUAAAUUAAAAAUCACACAAUGCCAUUACUAUUUUGAUCUCCAGUUUUUAUUUAGGUAGUAUUGAAACAGUAAAACACCUAGAGGGGAAAAAAAAGUGUUUACUGAGGCAAGAAGUUAAGUAAAAACAUUGUAGAAGUGAAUACUUGGAAAUCUGAAAAAAAGGUGUACAUCUCUAAUUAGAGAAGGGAAAUGGAAAAGCAAUAUUGAAGUGUUUUGAUGGUCAAGUACUUUACGGUAACAGCAAAUUAAAUGUGUUCUGAAUAGAAUCCAAGAAACAUAUUAAAAGAAAAGGCAGUGAAUGGGAUCUUUAUGCAUGAAAUUGUAACAGUAACAGAAUUGGAAGGGACCUUGGAGGUCAUCUAGUCCAACCCCCUGCUCACGCAGGAGACCUGUACUAGGGAUUCGAACUGCCAAACUGCCGACCUUUCUGAUCAACAAACUCAGUGUUUUAUCCACUGAAUCGGUUUGGUUCAUGAAUGGUAUUCCAGCAGAAGAAGCCAAGUUGUCUUAUUUCUGAAGCAAAACACUGCAAAUUAAAGUUCUGUUUGUAGAUUGGA